rnacentral:rRNA from 1 species
UACGGAGGGUGCAAGCGUUAUCCGGAUUCACUGGGUUUAAAGGGUGCGUAGGCGGGCAUGUAAGUCCGUGGUGAAAUCUCCGAGCUUAACUCGGAAACUGCCAUGGAUACUAUGUGUCUUGAAUGUUGUGGAGGUGAGCGGAAUAUGUCAUGUAGCGGUGAAAUGCUUAGAUAUGACAUAGAACACCCAAUUGCGAAGGCAGCUCACUAACACAAAUAUUGACGCUGAGGCACGAAAGCGUGGGGAUCAAACAGG